rnacentral:rRNA from 1 species
AUUGAACGCUGGCGGCAUGCCUUACACAUGCAAGUCGAACGGUAACAGGUCUUCGGAUGCUGACGAGUGGCGAACGGGUGAGUAAUACAUCGGAACGUGCCUAGUAGUGGGGGAUAACUACUCGAAAGAGUGGCUAAUACCGCAUGAGAUCUACGGAUGAAAGCAGGGGAUCGCAAGACCUUGUGCUACUAGAGCGGCCGAUGGCAGAUUAGGUAGUUGGUGGGAUAAAAGCUUACCAAGCCGACGAUCUGUAGCUGGUCUGAGAGGACGAUCAGCCACACUGGGACUGAGACACGGCGCAGGCUCCUACGGGAGGCAGCAGUGGGGAAUUUUGGACAAUGGGCGCAAGCCUGAUCCAGCAAUGCCGCGUGCAGGAUGAAGGCCUUCGGGUUGUAAACUGCUUUUGUACGGAACGAAAAGCCCCGGGUUAAUACCCUGGGGUCAUGACGGUACCGUAAGAAUAAGCACCGGCUAACUACGUGCCAGCCGCCGCAGUAA